AGGCUAUCCGCUGUGAGUAUACCCGUUGGUGUGGAGUAACUUGCAUAAAUUAACCUGUGUGAUCGUUGGAGUCCUCCAGGACUAGGAGGGCGGCCCUACCCCUAUAACAGCGUGGUGGGCGAGCCGCUAGAAGUGUACGUCCAAACAGCCACAGCAACGAGACUUUAUUUUGGUCGUGUUUCCAUCGCCCCUCUUUCAGCCCAAGCGCAGUGGAGGACACCGGGCGCUUUCCCUUGUGGUGUUGCACUGAUAGUGUGAGUCAGAGGCGAAAGGGUCCGCCGCCCCCGUGGUCUCUACAAAAGGGCGCCCCUGUCCAGGAUUCGAUCGGCCUACGGGCAGUGGAGGUAGGGCAGCGCUCGACCCGGCGAGGUGGUGUGUGACCUUCGCCCCUCUGCUGACCUACAGAGGAAACCGUACCUACCCAGAAAGCUGUAAGCAGCAGAGCCGGUGAGAGAUACUCGAAGUUUCAGUAACAGUGUCUUUGUGUCCUAGCGACCACCUGUGGAGAGAGAGGAAAACCAGAGUGAAUAAUUGAAGAACAGACUGUGAAUGUGAUACCUACCCAGAAAGCUGUAAGCAGCAGAGCCGGUGAGAAAUACUCGAAGUUUCAGUAACAGUGCCCUUGUAUCCUAGCGACCACCUGUGGAGAGAGAGGAAAACGAGAGUGAAUAAUUGAAGAACAGACUGUGAACGUGAUACCUACCCAGAAAGCUGUAAGCAGCAGAGCCGGUGAGCAAUACUCGAAGUUUCAGUAACAGUGUCUAUGUGUCCUAGCGACCACCUGUGGAGAGAGAGGAAAACAAGAGUGGAUAAUUGAAGAACAGACUGUGAAUGUGAUACCUACCCAGAAAGCUGUAAGCAGCAGAGCCGGUGAGAAAUACUCGAAGUUUCAGUAACAGUGCCCUUGUAUCCUAGCGACCACCUGUGGAGAGAGAGGAAAACGAGAGUGAAUAAUUGGAGAACAGACUGUGAACGUGAUACCUACCCAGAAAGCUGUAAGCAGCAGAGCCGGUGAGAAAUACUCGAAGUUUCAGUAACAGUGUCUUUGUGUCCUAGAGGCCGCCUGUGGAGAGAAAGGAGGACGAGAGUGAACAAUUGGAGAACAGACCGUGUAACGUGCUACCUACCCCGAGAGCAGUAAACAGCAGAACCGGUGAGGAAUAUACCAAAUCCAAGCUAACAGUGUUUCUGUGUCGCAGUGAUCACCUGUGGGGAAUAAGGAGAACGAGGGUGGACGUACGACGGGGAACGUGAAGGCACGCGGGGCGAGACCCCCUGCCGAACUGAGGAAAGGUACACGGACAGUGGGAAAUCCCCUACCAGUCACACCGAAAUUGUCUGCCUCCAGGAAAGAAGAAGGAGGGCGCCACGGUUAGCAGGGUCCAGGCCGGAGCCUGACGUUUCCCUCUUCCCCCCGGCUUAUGGUGGUUGGCACCCCUGUUGCCUUUGCCCCAGUCUGCCCGUGGCUGUAGUCUCCCUGGAGGGAGGAGAAGAAGCCUAUUAGUUUUAAAUUCCCCUUUCCCCAAUUCCCCAGUUCUUUUAAGUAUUUAAAUUAAAUAAAGCUUGUUUUAAAUUUUA